UUUGACGAGUCAGUUUUGGGCAACAACCUACACCUAACACAUAAAUAGAGCAGCAUAAUACUCUCACCUUCUUCAAUGGACUUUGAGCUCUCUCUAUCUCUCUCUUCUUAAUUGUUCUCUCCAACAAUUCCUUCUGCAUCUGUCUAGCCUUUUCAGGUCCAGAAAGUGCUCUGAUUCAAAGCAUUGAUCAAAUAUACAGGAAAGCUCGUCUCUGGUGCAUCAUUAAGUUAUGACUUGCUUUUCUUUCUUAUUUCGUGGACAUAAUGAUUCAUCAAAAAACCAUUCUUUUGAGGUUGAUGAAGAGUUCGACGUUCACAAUGUAAAAUUUUACACAUACAAAGAAUUAAGAAACGCCACCGAAGAUUUUAGCCCAGUCAAUA